UACGUAGGCAGCAAGCGUUGUUCGGAAUUACUGGGCGUAAAGAGUGUGUAGGCGGUGCUCUAAGUCUGUUGUGAAAUCUCCCGGCUUAACUGGGAGGGUGCGGCGGAGACUGGAGUGCUAGAGUGUGGGAGAGGUAAGCGGAAUUCCUGGUGUAGCGGUGAAAUGCGUAGAUAUCAGGAGGAACACCUGUGGUGUAGACAGCUUACUGGACCACGACUGACGCUGAGACACGAAAGCUAGGGUAGCGAACGGG
rnacentral:rRNA from 1 species